AAGGGAUGUCCCAGGUACUUUGUAUAGUGCAUGUGCAGCAUGCUUUAUUCCUGCAGCCAGGAUUUUUUUUAAAAUUUUUAAUAAAAACCAAAUAGUGGUCAUUAUUUUCAUGCCCCCUCACUGUACUCAUUAGUAACUCCAUUUCAUGCCCAUCUUUACUGCCAAUUUUGUCACAUAUCUUAUGCCCUUCCGUCACAUCAAUGACUGAGACUACUAUCUGAUGCCUGACCCCUUUCCAGUCACCCAUGGUCUCAAACAUUGCACCUCU